rnacentral:rRNA from 1 species
GCUAAAACAGUCAGGAGGUUGGCUUAGAAGCAGCCACCCUUUAAAGAAAGCGUAAUAGCUCACUGAUCGAGUCGUCCUGCGCGGAAGAUGUAACGGGGCUAAGCUAUAUACCGAAGCUGCGGAUGCGUGCUAUGCACGCAUGGUAGGAGAGCGUUCCGUAAGCCUGCGAAGGUGCGUUGAAAAGCGUGCUGGAGGUAUCGGAAGUGCGAAUGCUGACAUGAGUAGCGAUAAAGGGGGUGAAAGGCCCCCUCGCCGUAAGCCCAAGGUUUCCUACGCAACGUUCAUCGGCGUAGGGUGAGUCGGCCCCUAAGGCGAGGCAGAAAUGCGUAGCUGAUGGGAAGCAGGUCAAUAUUCCUGCACCAUUGUUAGAUGCGAUGGGGGGACGGAUCGCGGAAGGUUGUCCGGGUGUUGGAAGUCCCGGUCGCUGCAUUGGAGAAGGCACUUAGGCAAAUCCGGGUGCGCAAUUCAAGGGUGUGGCGCGAGCUCCCUCGGGAGCGAAGCAAUUGGAAGUGGUUCCAAGAAAAGCCUCUAAGCUUCAGUCUAACGAUGACCGUACCGCAAACCGACACAGGUGGGCGAGAUGAGUAUUCUAAGGCGCUUGAGAGAACUCGGGAG